ensembl:snoRNA
ACAUCAGAAAUUUUAAAAAUUACUGUUAAAAAAAUAUAGUAAAUGCUGUCAAUAGGAAAGCCAUGUUACGAGCCUUAAAGACAUUGAAGUCAUUAAGGUCCCUGAAAAUGGCUACAAGG